rnacentral:rRNA from 1 species
GUUUGAUCAUGGCUCAGGAUGAACGCUAGCUACAGGCUUAACACAUGCAAGUCGAGGGGCAGCGGGAUUGAAGCUUGCUUCAAUUGCCGGCGACCGGCGUACGGGUGAGUAACGCGUAUCCAACCUUCCGCAUACUCGGGGAUAGCCUUCUGAAAAGGAGAUUAAUACCCGAUGGUAUCAAGAGAUUGCAUGAUAACUUGAUUAAAGAAUUUCGGUAUGCGAUGGGGAUGCGUUCCAUUAGGUAGUAGGCGGGGUAACGGCCCACCUAGCCAACGAUGGAUAGGGGUUCUGAGAGGAAGGUCCCCCACAUUGGAACUGAGACACGGUCCAAACUCCUACGGGAGGCAGCAGUGAGGAAUAUUGGUCAAUGGACGAGAGUCUGAACCAGCCAAGUAGCGUGAAGGAUGAAGGUUCUAUGGAUUGUAAACUUCUUUUAUAAGGGAAUAAAACCUCCCACGUGUGGGAGCUUGUAUGUACCUUAUGAAUAAGCAUCGGCUAACUCCGUGCCAGCAGCCGCGGUAAUACGGAGGAUGCGAGCGUUAUCCGGAUUUAUUGGGUUUAAAGGGAGCGCAGACGGGAGAUUAAGUCAGUUGUGAAAGUUUGCGGCUCAACCGUAAAAUUGCAGUUGAUACUGG